GAGUGAUCGAAAGAUGAAAAGCACUUUGAAAAGAGAGUUAAACAGCACGUGAAAUUGUUGAAAGGGAAGCGUUUGCGACCAGACUCGCCCGCGGGGUUCAGCCGGCACUCGUGCCGGUGUACWUCCCCGUGGGCGGGCCAGCGUCGGUUUGGGCGGCCGGUCAAAGGCCCWCGGAAUGUAUCACCWCUCGGGGUGUCWUAUAGCCGAGGGUGCAAUGCGGCCU
rnacentral:rRNA from 1 species